UCCCGCAAACCCGUCUUCCCAGGAGGACGGCCUGAGUAGCUGGAGGCGGCAUGAACUCUGAUCCCUUGGGUCACACACUAUGGACAAUGAGAGGCGGAGCUGGAGCUAGUCUGUAAGAAUAUUCUCCACAAGGCAGCACAGUCUUGGAUCUUUCAGAGUCCAGGGAUCCACUCAGAGAAUGAAGAGCUCACAUUAAAAGAUGAAAUAAGCUUGACUCUCACAGAACAUGAGUUUCAGUGCCCUCUUUGCCAUGGAUUGAGGGUCAUGGUCACAGGAAAGCAAUGGUCAGCUUUGGAAGCAAUAUUUCAGCAUUCCAUGGAGAGCAUAUUAGACGUAACUCCGGGGAUGUUAAAUGCCCACGUGUCCAAAAAAAAAA